GCCGCCCAGUCCGGGAGGGAGGUGGGGGGUCAGCCCCCUGCCCGGCCAGCCGCCCCGUCCGGGAGGGAGGUGGGGGGAUCAGCCCCCCGCCUGGCCAGCCGCCCCAUCCGGGAGGGAGGUGGGGGGGUCAGCCCCCCGCCCGGCCAGCCGCCCCGUCCGGGAGGGAGGUGGGGGGAUCAGCCCCCCGCCUGGCCAGCCGCCCCGUCCGGGAGGUGAGGGGCGCCUCUGCCCGGCCGCCCCUACUGGAAAGUGAGGAGCUCCUCUGCCCGGCCAGCCGCCCAGUCCGGGAGGGAGGCGGGCGGGGGUCGGCCAGCCGCCCCGUCCGGGAGGGAGGUGGAGGGGGUCAGCCCCCCUUCCGGCCGGCCGCCCCGUCCGGGAGGUGAGGGGCGCCUCUGCCCGGCCGCCCCUACUGGGAAGUGAGGACCCCUCUGCCCGGCCAGCCGCCCCGUCCGGGAGGGAGGUAGGGGGGACAGCCCCCCGCCCGGCCAGCCGCCCUAUCCAGGAGGUGAGGGGCGCCUCUGCCCGGCCGCCCCUACUGGGAAGUGAGGAGCCGCUCUGCCUGGCCAGCCGCCCCGUCCGGGAGGGUGGUGGGGGGUCAGCCCCCGCCCGGCCAGCCGCCCCAUCCGGGAGGUGAGGGGCGCUUCUGCCCGGCCGCCCCUACUGGGAAGUGAGGAGCCCCUCUGCCUGGCCACGACCCCGUCUGGGAGGUGUGCCCAGCGGCUCAUUGGGGAUGGGCCAUGAUGACAAUGGCGGUUUUGUGGAAUAGAAAGGCGGGAAGGGUGGGGAAAAAAUUGAGAAAUCGGAUGGUUGCCGGGUCUGUGUGGAUAGAAGUAGACAUGGGAGACUUUUCAUUUUGCUCUGUACUAAGAAAAAUUCUUCUGCCUUGGGAUCCUGUUGAUCUGUGACCUUAUCCCCAACCCUGUGCUCUCUGAAACAUGUGCUGCGUCCACUCAGGGUUAAAUGGAUUAAGGGCGGUGCAAGAUGUGCUUGGUUAAACAGAUGCUUGAAGGCAGCAUGCUCGUUAAGAGUCAUCACCACUCCCUAAUCUUAAGUACCCAGGGACACAAACACUGCGGAAGGCCGCAGGGUCCUCUGCCUAGGAAAACCAGAGACCUUUGUUCACUUGUUUAUCUGCUGACCUUCCCUCCACUAUUGUCCUAUGACCCUGCCAAAUCCCCCUCUGCGAGAAACACCCAAGAAUGAUCAAUAAAAAAAAAAAAUAAAAUAAAAUAAAAUAAAAUAAAAAGAAAUCCAAUUGCUGGAAAAAAAAAAAAUAAAAAAAAAAAAUAAAAAUUUAUGGUAUUUAUAGGCACCUAGUAACGGCUCAGUAAAUAUUAGCUGCUACUUUUAUUAUUUUUAUGGUAAUUCCACUCAAUUAAAAACUGUCAUUAAAAAUUACCAUUGUCAUGGAACAUAAUGUAUCCUACAGUAUAAUUGUAAAAACAGAUACAAUUUGUCCCUUGGUAUAUGGGGGGGAUUAGUUCCAGCUCCCCCAUUUCUGUGUAUACCAAAAUCCACCCAUACCCACUGCAGCCUAGACUUUUCAGGCUCAAGGGAUCUUCCCACCCCAGACUCCAAAGUAGCCGGAACUAUAGGUGGGCACCACCACCACAUCUGGCUAAUUUAAAAAAAUUUUUUGGUAGACAACAGGGUCUCACUAUGUUGCCCAGGCUGGUCUCCAACUCCUGUCCUCAAGCGAUCCUCCUGCCUAGGCUUCCCAAAUUGCUGGGAUUACAGGCAUGAGCCACCAUGCCUGGCCUCUGCUAGUUCUGUAUUCUCUAGAGUCGUCUUUCAUUUGUGCUAGUGUGUCAGUCAUUACGCCAAUCCUCUGUUAUAAUUAAUACUUUUCAUAUUAAAUUUAUAUAUAUAUUUUUUACUUUUUUUUGUUUUUUAUUGGUACUGGGUCUCGAUCACCUAGGCUAAAGUGCAGUGGCACGAUCUCUGUUCACGGCUACCUCCACUUCCCAGGCUCAAGCAGUUCUCCUUCCUCAGCCUCCCGAGUAGCUGGGAUUACAGAUAUGUGCCACCACCCCUGGCUAAUUUUUGUGUUUUUUGUAGAGAUGGUGUUUCGCCGUGUUUCCCAGGCUGGUCUCAAACUCCUGAGCUCAAAGCGAUCACCUGCCUUGGCCUCCCAAAGUGCUGGGAUUACAGGUGUGAGCCACCGUGCCCAUUUUAGUUUAAACUUCUGAGUGGUUUAUAUCUCCUGAUUGGACUCCUAGAAAUACAGAAUUGAUGCUAGGAAGGGUACCAGGAGAUGGACCCACACAGAUGGGAUUUGGGCAUAGGUUUGGUUAUCCAAGGAGCAGAGCUGAGCUCCUUGCCAGUGGGACAUGGGAUGCUGGUGAUUUCUAGGAAGUGACCUCACAAUAACUCAAGCUACCACUUACUGUUGAUUGUGAUGAAAUGCCAGCCAAGGCAUAUGCCAUUCAAGCUAAGGGGUGCUACACUUGACCGCUGCGGUAGUAUAGAUGAGUCUGAAGAAUGGUAUGGGAUGGAUACUUUCGAAUGCACUGGAGUAGGGGUCUCCAUCCGCAGGGCCACAGAGCCGGAGAGGAGCAGUGGGUGAGUGAGGGGAAACUUCAUCUGUAUUUAUAGCCCCUCCCCAUCGCUCACAUGACCACCUGAGCACCAUGUCUUGUCAGAUCAGUGGCAGCAUUAGAUUCUCAUAGGAGCACGAACCCUGUUGUGAAGUGUGCGUGUAAGGGAUCUAGGUUGCACGCUCCUUAUGAGAAUCUAAUGCCUGUUUCUCCCAUCACCCCAGAUGGACAGUCUAGUUGCAGGAAAAUAAGUUCAGAAAUCCCACUGAUUGUACAUUAUCAUGAGUUGUAGAAUUAUUUCAUUGUAUAUUACAAUGCAAUAAUAAUAGAAAUAAAGUGCACAAUCUAUGUAACACACUUGAAUCAUCCUGAAGUCAUUCCCUCCACCCCCAGUCUGUGGAAAAAAUUGCCUUUCACAAAUUCACUCUGUUUUUUGCGUAGAGACAGGGUCUUAAUAUGUUGCCCAGGCUGAUCUCAAACUGCUGGGCUCGAGUAAUCCACCCCUCUCAGCCUCCCAAACUGUUGAGAUUACAGGCGUAAGCCACCACGCUCAACCAAGACUGAGUUUCUUAAACCAAAUAAAAAUUAUGGGAGAUUACUUGAGCCCAGGAGGUUGACGCUGCAGUGAGCCCUGAUUGCACCACUGCAUUCCAGUGUAGGUAACAGAAUGAGACUCAGUCUCAAAAAAUAAGAUAAAAUAAAAUAAAAAUUAGACCGGGCAUGGUGGCUCACGCCUGUAAUCCCAGCACUUUGGGAAGCCAAGGCAGGCAGAUCACGAGGUCAGGAGAUCGAGACCAUCCUGGCUAACAUGGUGAAACCCCGUCUGUUCUAAAAGUACAACGAAUUAGCCAGGUGUGGUGGCAGGUGCCUGUAGUCCCAGCUACUUGGGAGGCUAAGGCAGGAGAAUGGUGUGAACCCGGGAGGCAGAGCUUGCAGUGAGCCGAGAUCGCGCCACUGCGCUCCAGCCUGGGCAACAGAGCAAGACUCUGUCUUUAAAAAAAAAAAAAAAAAAUUAACCCUUUAUGAAGUUCCCAGUAAUUCUUUGCUUCCUAAGUGUUCCCCAUAAGCCUCUGAAUUUUGUUUGCUUUUCAUAUACCAUUUAAAACGUUUAAGAACUUGUGUCUGUCUGUGUCAUCCUUUUUUUUUAAAGAAUAUCUUUUUGUCACUUCCAGCUGGAUCUACCAUGAAAGACUUCAGAGUCCAGGAAGAGAGACUGACUGGGCAACAUGUUAUUCAGUUACAAAAAGACUUGGACUAUGACUCAAAAAUGAUCAAAUAAUAGUUCAUGCAUCAAAUGCAAUAGGAAGUACUUCUGGAGGGUGAGAGAAGCAUCCAGUUAAGGUGACAUUGAAGCUGGGUCCUGAAAGAUGAGGAAGAAUUGUAUGAGAGUGGGCAGAGAAGGGGGAGGUGGAGGGAUGGGGAAUGGGCUGGGAUGGAGUGAGCUGCUCAAGUAGGGAGACCAGCACUGUAAAGACCUGGACGAUAAAGACGGCACAUUUUAUUCAGGGAAUGGUGAAUUAAGUGUGGCAGGAAUGCUUUGGAGAGAUAGUAAUUUGCUUGUAUGGAAUUUUGCCCAAGAGGCCUCAUUACAGUUUCUAAUCUUUUGAUGUUAUCAUCUAUCACUGUCCUUGCCAAAUAGUUUGGAAUAGGUAUAAUGAUCACAAUAACAUCAAGCAUAAUAUUUCAUUAAUUCUCACAAAAUCACAGGUAGGUGCCACAGUUAUCCCCAUUUUGUGAAUGAAGUGAUGAAGACUUAGGAAUAAUGAGUGAUUUGCCCAAGCUCACCUGGAUAUUAAGACUGAGUCAAAUGUGGGGUCUGGUCUGACUUUAAUGUUUGCUUUGUUCAUGAGCACCACGUAUUGCCUCUCCUAUGCAGUUAAGCAGGUAGACAGGUGAAAGAAAAGCCCAUGUUAGUCUCUACUCACACACUUCCGACUGAAUGUGUGUGUGGAAUUUCUACACCAAGUUCUCCAAUGCUCUGGAUAUUAACUGGGUAUCCUACAAUUUUAUUCUGACACUUCCUGGAGUUGGCGUAGACCCCACAGGUUACGGGCUCAGUCCCACAAGACCACCCUUGCUUCACAUUGCAAUGGCAAGUCCUAGGUUGUCACCUGCACUUUUGACCAACCUGUUACAAAUCAGGGGUUCCCAUGACCCCCUCUUGGGGUUUAAUCAUUUGCUAGAGCAGCUUACAGAACUCAGAAAAACAGUUUGUUUCCUUUUUUUCUGAGAGACAGGGUCUCAUUUUGUUGUCCAGGCUGGUGUGCAGUGGUGCAGUCAUAGCUCACUGCAGCCUUGACUGCCUGGGCUCAAGUGGUCCUCCCACCUCAGCCUCCCUAGUAGCUGAGACUACAUGCUUGCACCACCAUUUCUGGCUAAUUUAUUUUUUGUAGAUAUGGCGUCUUGUUAUGUUGCACAGGUUGGCCACAAAUUCCUGGGCCCAAGCAAUCCUCCCACCGCAGCCUCUUUGAAGUGCUGGGAUUACAGAUGUGAGCCACCACAUUUCCUAUUACUGGUUCCUUGUAAAGGAUACAUCGCAGAAACAGCUAAUGAAAGAGAUGUAUGUGCCAGAUGCAGUGGCUCACGCUGUAAUCCCAACACUUUGGGAGGCCGAGGUAGGAGGAUUGCUUAAACUUAGGAGUUUGAGACCAGCCUGGGCAACACGGUGAAACCCUGUCUCUGUAAAAAAUUUUUAAAAAGCUGGGCACGGUGGCUCAAGCCUGUAAUCCCAGCACUCUGGGAGGCCAAGGUGGGUGAAUCACGAGGUCAGGAGUUGAAGACCAGUCUGACAAACAUGGUGAAACCCCGUCUCAACUAAAAAUGCAAAAGUUAGCCAGGUGUGGUGGCACGCACGUACAAUCCCAGCUACUUAGGAGGCUGAGGCAGGAGAAUCGCUUGAACCUGGGAGGUGGAGGUUGCAGUGAGCUGAGAUCACACCACUGCACUUUAGCCUGGGCAACAGAGCUAGACUCUUGUCUCAGUAAAUAAAUUAACCGAGUGCGGUGGUGUGCAGUUACUAAUUCCAGUUACUACAGAACUAGACUCCAUCUCAAUAAAUUAAAUAAAUAAAUAAAUAAAUAAAUGAAUAAAUAACUGAGUGUGGUGGCAUGCACCUGUAGUUCCAGUUACUAGGGAAGCUGAGGUGGGAGGAUGUUUUGAUCUGGGGACUGGGGAGGCUUAGGUUGCAGUGAGGUAAGAUUGUGCCACUGCACUCUAGCCUGGAUAAAAGAGCCAGACACUUUCUCAAAAAAAAAAAAAAAAGAAAAAGAAAAAAAAAAGAUGCCCAGGGCAAGGUAAGUGGGGAGGGGCACAGAGCUCCCAUGCACUUUGUUGAACAUGCUACCCUCCCAGCAUCUCCUAUGUUCAGCAACCCAGAAGCUCUGCAAUCCCUGUUGUUCAGGGUGUUUAUGGAGGCUUUAUUAUGCAAGCACGAUUGAUAAAAUCCUUGGCCAUUGGUGAUUAAGUCAAUCUCCAGCCCGUCUUGCCUCCUGGAGUUAAGCGGGUGAGGCUGAAAGUUCCAAGCCUCUAAUCAUGUCGUUGCUUUUUCUGGCAAUCGGCCCUUCUCCUAAAGAAAUCUAGGAGCUUGCAGCCACUCAUCAUCUCAACAAUAUCCCCAAAUGCAUUCUUGUCAUGCUGGAGAUCCCAAAGUUCUUAAAGUCUCUUGUGUUAGAAACCUGGGACAAAGACCAAAUAUUAAAACAAAAGAUGCUCCUAUCACCUCUAACACUGAGGUCUUUAUAAGAGCUUUAGAAGCUCUGUGCCAGGAACCAGGGACAGAGACCAAAUAUAUUUUUCUGUUCUUUUUUUGAGACAAAAUCUCCCCAUGUCAUCCAGGGUGGAGUGCAGUGUUGUGAUCAUAGCUCACUAUAGCUUUGACCUCCUGAGCUCAAGUGAUCCUCCCACCUGAGCCUCUUAAGUAGCUGGGACUACACAUGCAUGUUACCCAUGCCCAGCUCAUUUUUGUAGAGAUGAAAUUUAAUUAUGUCGCCCAGGCUGAUCUCAAACUCCUGGGCUAAAGCGAUCUCACCUCAGCCUCUCAAGUAGCUGGGAGUACAGGGACACACCACCAUGUCUGGCUAAUAUUUAUUUUUAUUUUUUCAUAGAGGUGAGGUCUCACUAUGUUGUCCCGGCUGGUUUCAAACUCUGGGCCUCAAGUGUUCCUCCUGCUUUGACCUCCCAAAGUGUUGGGAUUAUGGGUGGAAGCCACCACGCCCAGCAAUUACAAGGAUUUUUUUUUGGUUUUUUGUUUUUUUGUUUUUUGAGACGGAGUUUCGAUCUUGUUGCCCAGGCUGGAGUGCAGUGGCGCGAUCUCGGCUCACCAAAACCUCCACCUCCUGGCUUCAAGCGAUUCUCCUGCCUCAGCCUCCAGAGUAGCUGGGAAUACAGGCAUGCGCCACUACACCCGGCUAAUAUUUGUAUUUUUAGUAGAGACGAGGUCUCUCCCUGUUGGUCAGGCUGGUCUCAAACUCUUGACCUUAGGUGAAUCACAAUGAUCUUUAUAAAAGAAAGAGGGUAGGAGAGUCAGAACUGGAGCAGGAGAUGUGAUGGAAGCCGAGGUCAGAGAGGGAGAUUUGAAGAUGCUUCACUUCUGACUUUGAAAAUGGAGUAAGGGGCCAUGAUCCAAGGAAUGGGGGUGGCUUCUAGAAGCUGGAAAAGCCAAGAGAAAAUGUUAGAGCCUAGAGCCUUCAAAAGGAAUGCAGCCCUGCUGACACCUUGACUUUAGCUUUAAUAGACCUAGUUUGGGCUUCUGGCCCCCAGAACUGUAAAGAUGGUUGAUUUGUGGUGUUUUUAGCCACUAAAUGUAGGAAAGUUUGUUGCAGCCACAAGAAGAAAUGAACAUAAAGCCAGGCAUGGUGGCUCAUGCUGGUAAUCCCAGCACUUUAGGAAUCCAGGCAGGAGGAUCACUUGAGGCCAGGAGUUCAAGACUAGCUUGGGCAACAUAGUGAGACCCUGUCUCUACAAAAAAUUUAAAAAAUGGCUCAGUGCAGUGGCUUGUGCCUGUAAUUUCAACACUUUGGGAGGCUGAGGCAGGCAGAUCACCUGAGGUCAGGAGUUCAAGAACAGCCUGGCCAACAUGGCAAAACCCCAUAUCUAAUGAAAAUACAAAAGUUAGCCAGGUAUGGUGGCACGCGCCUGUAAUCCCAGCUACUAGGAAGGCUGAGGCAGGAGACACCCUUGAAACUGGGAAGUGGAGGUUGCAGUGAGUCAGGAUCACACCAUUGCACUCCAGCCUGGGCAAGAAGAGCGAAAUUCCAUCUUAAGAUAAAAUGAAAUAAAAUAAUAAAUCAGCCAGGCAUGAUGACAUGCACCUGUAGUCUCAGCUACUAGGGAGGCUGAGGUGGGAGGAUUGCUUGAGCCCAGGAAUUGGAGGUUGCAGUGAGCUGUGAUUGCACCACUGCACUCCAGCCUUGGUGGCAGAGUGAGAUCUUGUCUCCAAAAAAAAAAAAAAAGUAUGGUAGGCAUGGGGACAGAUGGCAAUGUUAAUAGAAUAGUCAGGGGUGGCCUCCUUAGUAAAAAUUGAGCAAAGACUUGAAGGAGGGGAAGGAGUUGGCCAAGGUGCUGAGGGAAGAGCAUUGUAGGUAGAAAAAACAGAAUAAGGUGUCUGAGGUGUGUCUGAGGCUCUGGAAGGAGGCCAGUGGAGCAGGAGAGAGGGAGAGAAUUAGGGCAGUAGGCCAGAGAUUUGCUGGGCAGGGAUCAGUACAUACCGUGUAAGCCCUGGGAGGUUAUUGCUGGGCUAGAUAGGAAAUUCAGGAGGGUUCUGAGCAGAGAGGCCACGUGAUAUGUCUGCCGAUUUAAAAGCAUUCUCUGGCUGCUGAGUUGAGAAAGACUGUGGGAAGAUUUGGGUAGAAGCAUGGGGGCCAAGCUGUGGCAACAUCCAGGUGGGAGAUGAUAGUGGUCUUGACCAGGGUCAUGGUGGUGUUGAGAGAUGGUCAGAGGAGAGAAGUAGGGGAGGAGGCCAGGGAGUUGCUGGGUGGGGAUCUUCAGUACGUGUUGAAGACAGUCAACAGGAUUUCCUGUCAGACUGGAUGUGGAAUGUGAGAGAAGGCAGGGGUCAGGGUUGAGUUAGAUUCUUACCGAAUUAUUAAGUAAUUUUAAAAAACACUACUGUCUUUCCCAGUCCUAUUAAGUAUGGGAUACUAGAUUAAAGAAAUAUCUUCAGGCUCAGUGCAGUGGCUCAUGCCUGUAGUCCCAGCUGUUUGGGAGGCAGAGAUGGGAGUAUCUUUUAAGGGCAGUAGUUCGAGACCAGCCUGGGCAACAUAGCAAGACCUCCUCUCAAUAAAUAUAUUUUUCAAAAUUUAGUAAAACGAAAUGUAGCUAGGCAUGCUGAUGUGUACUUGUAGUCCCAGCUACUCAGGAGGCUGAGGUGGGCAGAUCUUUUGAGGUCAGGUGUUUGAGGCCAGCUUGGGCAACAUAGCAAGACCCCUCACUCUGCAAAAAAAAUUUAAAAAAUAGCCAGGUAUGGUGGCACUCAACUGUGGUACCAGCCAGUGGGGAGCUGAGGCAGGAAGAUGGCUUAAAUUCAGAAGGUCGAGGCUUCAGUGAGCUAUAAGUGCACAAGUGCUCUCCAGCCUGGGCGACAGAGCAGGACCGUGUCACAAUACAAAUUAAGUAAUGAAAUCAUAAGUUAGAGCCUUUAGGCUUUGUAGCCCUUGCAACCCCGGAGCCGUGCAGUGGGAUUUGCAUUGCUGGGAAUGAAGAGACCCCUGCCCAGUAUUGCUGCCUGACUAAUCAGUGUUUUAAAAAAUAUAUGAAUCUGUUGGGAGGCCGAGGCGGGCGGAUCACGAGGUCAGGAGAUCUAGACCAUCCUGGCUAACACGGUGAAACCCUAUCUCUACUAAAAAUACAAAAAAAUCAACCGGGCGUGGCAGUGGGCACCUGUAGUCCCAGCUGCUGGGGAGGCUGAGGCAGGAGAAUGGUAUGAACCUGGGAGAUGGAGCUUGCAGUGAGCCGAGAUUGUGCCACUGCACUCCAGCCUGGGGAACAGAGCGAGACUCUGUCUCAAAAAAUAUAUAUAUAUAUAAAUAAAUAUAUAUGUAAAUAUAUAUAAUGUAUAAAAAUAUAUGUAAAUAUAUUAAUAUAUAAAUAUACAUGCAAAUAUAUAUUAAUAUGUAUGUAAACAUUAAUGUAUAUGUAAAUAUAUAUUAAUAUAUGUAAUAUAUAUAAUUAUAUAUAUUAAUCAGUGUGGGCACAAUGGCUUACGCCUGUAAUCCCAGCACUUUGGGUGACCGAGGUGAUCACCUGAGGUCAGGUGAUCACCUGAGGUCAGGAUUUCGAGACCAGCCUGGCCAACAUGGCUAAACCACAUCUCUACUAAAAAAACAUAAAAAUUAGCCAGCCAUGUUGGUGGGCACCUGUAAUGCCAGCUACUUGGGAAGCUGAGCCAGGAGAAUUGCUUGAACCCAGGUGGCGGAGGUUGCAGUGAGUCAAGAUCGUGCCACUUCACUCCAGCGUGCGUAAGUCAGACUUUGUUUCCCCCCCAAAAAAAAGUACUACUUACGUCAACUUGUAAUGGUUUUAUUAUUCAUGUGUAAUGAAUGUAUAUUUUAAAAAUUUGUCCUGUACUAUAUCAACAUGAAAUGGUUUUAUUAUUAAUAUGUAAUGAAUAAUAUUUUAAAAUUUGUCUUAUUUUCUAAUUUUAAUAUAAUUAUUUAUAUAAAGAAAAAGGCUUAAGAGAUCUUCAAUAGAGUUAAAAAAUGUAAAGGGAUGCUAGACCCAAAAAGAUUGGGAACAUGUAGUUUAGACAUAUUCAGAGUAAGCCACGUACAACUUGCUACUUUACCUAUUUUCUUUCCUUUUUUUGUUUUGUUUUGUUUUAGAAGAUGGGGUCUCCUCUGCAACCCAGGCUGGAGUACAGUGGUGCAAUCACAGCUCACUGUAGCCUUGAACUCCUAGGCUAAGGCUCCUCCUGCCUCAGCCUCCUGAGUAGCUGGGACUGUAGUUAUAUAUGAUGACACCUGGCUAUUCUUUAAAUUGUUUUGUAGACAUGGGGUCUCACUUUGUUGGCCAGGCUGGUGUCAAACUCCUGGCCUCAAGUGACCCUUCUACCCCUGCCUCCCAUCCUAGAGGUAUGAGCCACCACAACAAGCACUUGUUCGAUUUUCUAAAAAACAAAUUUCCAAAUUAAGGCUGUGGGAUGAUGGCCAGAAGAUAAAGUAGAAAAACAGAAUAAUAGGCCGGGCGCGGUGGCUCACGCCUGUAAUCCCAGCACUUUGGGAGGCCGAGGUGGGUGGAUCGCGAGGUCAGAGUUCGAGACCAGCCUGGCCAACAUGUUGAAACCCCGUCUCGACUAAAGAUACAAAAAAAUUUAGCCAGGCGUGGUGGCACGUGCCUGUAAUCCCAGCUACUCGGGAGGCUGAGGCAGGAGAAUCGCUAGAACCUGGGAGGUGGAGGUUGCAGUGAGCUGAGAUCGUGCCAUUGCACUCCAGCCUGGGUGACAGGGCAAGACUCUAUCUCUAAAAAAGAAAAACAGAAGAAUAAAUUCUAAUGACUUACACAUAUUCUUUUGACAGCAAGAAGAACUUUUAGUAAAUACAUUCCUUACAAACAAACAGAAGGCAAAUAAACACUGUUGUACAGGAACUUCAACACACACUGUACAAUAUUCCCACUUUGCUGAUGUCAGUUAUGGAAAUUCUUCAUGGUUUACUUGACUAUCGCUAUCAGUAUUUUGCAUCUCUCAUCAUUUUUGUCAACUUCCUCAUCUGCUAACUUCUCUCCAAGGUAUGUCAUAUUGUGACAUACUGCUGCUGCACGAACAUGGCCAGUGUCAUCCUAUUAAACAUGUAGAAUCCUUCCCUAAUUUGUUUUUUUACCCUCUGUCUCUUUGUUUUGCAUUUUUCUUACCCUUAUUGUCAGAAACUCCAGAAAGUCAAUCGUAGUGAUUUAUCACCAAUUGCUCCAUUAAUUUAUACUUUGCUUACAUGGAAUUUUGCCCAACAGACAUCAUUACAAUUUCUAACCUUUUUUUUUUUUUUUUUUUUUUUUCCUGAGACAGGGUCUUGCUCUGUUGUCCAGGCUGGAGUGCGGUAGUGCUAUCACAGCUGACUGCAUCCUCAACCUCUCAGGCUCAAGCAGUCCUCCCACCUCAGCCUCCCAGGUGGCUGAGACUGUACGUGCUUGCCACAAUGCCCAACUAAUAAUUUGGACUUUUCCUAUACAUGGGUUCCAAAGGGCUGACUGCGAAACGAAGUGACCUCACAAUGACUCAAGCUACCACUUAGUGUUGAUUGUGAUGAAAUGCCAGCUGUGGCAUAUGCCUUGGGAGCUAAGUGGCUGCUGCACUUGACCACUAUGAAGACUGGUGUGGAAGGGUCCUUCUGGAUGUACUUGGGCAGGGUCCCCAACGCCAGAGCCAUGGAACUGUAAGGAGCCACACAGCCGGAGGUGAAUGGUGUUGAAUGAGGGAAGCUUCAUCUGUGUUUACAGCCACUCCCCAUUGCUCACAUUCCUGCCUGAGCUCUGCCUUCUCUCAGAUCAGCAGCAGCAUUAGAUUCUCAUAGGAGCAUGCACCCCAUUGUGAACCAUGCAUGUGAGGGAUCUACGUUGCGCUGUCCCUAUGAGAAUCUAAUGCCUGAUGCUCUGUCACUUUCUCCAAUAUUAUCUUCAAGUGAGCCACUCCUGGCCCAAUUCCUGUCUCCCGUUGGCCUAUAGAGGCCAAGCCUCUGCCUCAUGAUGGCCUCUGCAGGUCAAGCUCCUCCUCCUGGUUCCGUCUACAGGCCCAACACUUCCCUCAAAUAAACUCUUCUGCCCAGCUCCUGUCCAGCUCACGGCAGCCACUGUCGGCAUGAAAAUUCCUCAAUUCAAGCUCUCUAGGCCCACCUUCUGCCUCCCACUGGCCUGGACACGCCCAGCUCCAACCUGACAAUGGUCUCUACAGGCCCAGCUCAUCGGGCUCUGAGGGACCUCUCCAGGCCAAGCUCUUACCUCACGGAGGCUUCUCCAGGUCGUUUCUCCCUGUCUUCAGGCAGUGGUGACAGGUCAGCUCCUCCUCCACAGUGGCCUCGUUUGGGCAGGUCCUGCCUCUUGCAGCCUCUCAAAGCCCAGCUCCUGCCUCUGAGUGGCUUCUGCGCACCCAAAUGUCCUCCAGUCAGCCUGUCCUGGCUGAGCUCCUGCGACCUGGCUGAGCUCCUGCCUCCUGUCGGCCUCUAUAAACCCAGCCUCUGCUGUAUGGUGGCUUCUUCAGGCCCAGCUCUUCCUCCUGGCGGUGUAUACAGGUCCAACUCCUGCUUCCCAAUGGACUCUUUAGGCCAGGCUCAUGCCUUACGGCAGCCUUUCCUGGCCCAGCUUUUGCCUGUUGGCAUACCCUCCAGGCCCACAAUGUACUCAGAUCAGCCACUCCAUUCCCAGCUCUUCUUCCUGGCUGUGUCUACAGGCCCAACUGCUGCCUCACAACACCCUCUUUUGGCCCAGCUCCUGCCCAGCACCUGGUGGCCUCUAUAUGCCCCAGACUUCUUAAAGUCAACUUUGCUAGGCCCACCUUUGGCCUCCCAGCGGCUUUGACAGGACCAGCUCUUGCCUCAUGGCAGCUUCCCAACGCCAGGUUUCUGCCUGCAUUGUGGCAUCCUUGAUGGACCCAACUCUUGCUUUAUGCCGGCCUUCCCACACCAAGUUUCUGCCUGCCUCAUGGCAGGAUCCGAUAGGCCCAGCUCCUGCCUCUAAUGGCCUGGUUAGGCUCAUCUCAUCCCUCAAGGUGGCCACCCCAGAUGAAGCUCCUGCCUUUUGGCAGCCUUUAGAGGCCCAGCUCAUGCAUCUCAUUGCCUCUUGAAGCCCAGCUCAUUCCUCAAAACGGCCUAUCCACGCCCAGCUUUUCCCUUUGGUGGCUUCUCCAGGCCCAGAAAUUCCUCAGUUCGGCUUCGCAAGGUGAAGUUGCUGCCUCCCUGUGCCUUCUCCAGGCCCAGUUCUUCCUCCCAGCUGGGUCUACAGUCCCAUCUCCUGACUCAAAACAACCUAUUUUGGCUCGGCUCCUGCCCAGCACCUGGCGGCCUUUGUAGGCCUAAAGCUUCCUCAAGUCAAGCGUUCCAGGCCCAGAUCAUGCUGCCCAGGGGCCUUCACAGGCCCAGCUACUGCCUGACGAUGGCUUCCCCAGGCCCAGGUCUUGCCUUCCCCCAGCCUCCCGAGGCCCAGCCCUUGCCUCACAGUUGCUUUCCCAGUCCACGUUACAGCCUGUUACCCGACGGCCUUGACAGACCAAACUCUUCCUUCACACUGGACAGUUUAGGACAAGCUCAUACGUCUUCCAGCCUCUCCAGGUCAAGCUCCUGCCUCACACUGGCCUCUAUAGGCCCAGGUGCUGAAUCGCAAUGGUCUGUUUAGGUCCAUCUCAUGCCUUUCUCAGACUCUCCAAGCGACGAUCUGGCCUGACACUUGCUUCUGUGGGCCAUGUGAUCACUCACACUGGCCUCUUUAGGAUCAGGGGAUGCCUCUCCACAGGCCGAGAUCCUGCCUGUUGUAGGCCCCUUCAGGAUGCGCCGCUGCCUGACAGUGGACCCUCCAGGCCUAGAUGUUACGUGAUCAUGGCCUCUGCAGGUCAAGAAUUUAAAUUUUCGCAGCCUCUAUAGGCCAGGCUACUGCCUCCUGAUAAUGGCUUCUGCAGGCCCAAAUCGUCCUGAAAUAAGCCUCGCCAGGAACAGCACGUGUGUUGGAUGCCCGAACAACCAUAGCUUCUCCCGCACAGUGGCCCAUGGGGGCCGGGCUCUUGCCUCAGCCUGGCCACCUCAGGCCCAGUUCUUGCCUGUUGGCGGCCGCUCCAGGCCCGGCUCCUGCCCCUCGGCCUCCUCUCCAGGCCCAGAACUGGUUCCCGUCGGCCUCUCCAGGCCCAGCUCUCCCGGCCACCUCCACGGGCCCAGCUCCUGCCUCACGACAACCACGUUCGGCCCAGCUCCUGCCCAGCUCCUGGCAGCCGUUGUAGGCCCCAGGCUUCCCUGCGUUCAGGCCUCCCGGACCCACCUUCGGCUUUCCGGCGGCCCUGAGAGACCCGGCUCCUGCCUGCCAGCGGCCUCUCCCGGCCCAGCUGCGGCCUCACGUCGGCCUCCCCAGGCCACGUUUCCGCCUGCCUCACGGCAGCCCCGGCAGGCCCGGCUCCCGCCUGCCGGGGGCCUCUUGAGGAGGCUCAUCUCGUGCCCGGCCGCGGCCUCCCCAGGCCAGGCUCCUGCCUGCCGGCAGGCGCCACAAGCCCAGCUCCUGCGUCCCGAAGGCUUCUCUAGGCCCGGCUCGUGCCUCGCUGCGGCCUCUUGAGGCCCAGCUUUUCCCUUGUGGUGGCCUCUCCAGGCCCAGAACUUCCUCAAGUCGGCCUCCCCCGGUCCAGUGGCUGCCUCCCGGCCUCCUCUCCGGGCCCAGCUCUUUGCUCGCGUCUGCGCCCGUGGGCCCAGCUCCCGUCUCCAAACAGCCUCCUUCGACUCGGCUCCUGCCCAGCUCCCGGCGGCCUUCGUAGGCCCGAAGCCUCCUCCAGUCCAGCUCUCCAGGGCCGCGUCUUGCCUCGCCUCGCCUCCCCUCACCUUGCCUCACCUCGCAGCAGCCUUUCCAGGCCCAGCUCCCGCCUCCCGGCGGCCUUCCCCUGCCACGCUCGUGCCGGCCUCCCGGCAGCCUCCACCAGCCCGGCUCCUGCCUCACGCUGGCCCCUCUGGGCCCAGCUCAUGCCUCGCGGUGGCCUCUCCGGGCCCAGCUCCCACCCAGCCUGACGGCGCCUCCCGGCCCCAAGCUGCCUUCCUCGAUGUGGCCCAAAGUGGCCCAAAGCGUCCCAAAGUAGGCCUCGCCAGGCCCACCUCCUGCCCGGCGUAGGCCCUGAGGGGCGCGGCCCCUGCCCCAUACUGGCCUCUUUUGGGCCCUCUCUUACACCAGCCCCUGUCUCAGGAUUGUCUCUUCACGCCCAUCUUCUGCCUCAUAGUGGUCACUCAAGGCCUCGCUUUUGCCUGAUGAUUGCGUUUUCUGGUUUUGCUCUUGCCUUGUAUUCCCUUCUUCGGGAUACAGCUUUUACGUCUUCCAUGGUGAACCUCAUCAAGGAGACUAAAUCUUCCCUGGUCUGUCAUUUUUUUCACUUCACACCAGAGUGCCUUGGGAAAACCCCAUCUCUUCUUUUAACCUUGAGAGUGGAUUUCUGACGAAUUGAUAAUAAAUUUUUUCUCUGUGGUUUCAGUGAUUUCUGUUUUAUUUA
rnacentral:lncRNA from 1 species